UCAAGUGAAGAAGCGCAUACGGUGGAUGCCUUGGCAGUCAGAGGCGAUGAAAGACGUGGUAGCCUGCGAAAAGCUUCGGGGAGUCGGCAAACAGACUUUGAUCCGGAGAUGUCUGAAUGGGGGAACCCAGCCAUCAUAAGAUGGUUAUCUUACGCUGAAUACAUAGGCGUAAGAGGCGAACCAGGGGAACUGAAACAUCUAAGUACCCUGAGGAAAAGAAAUCAACCGAGAUUCCCUUAGUAGUGGCGAGCGAACGGGGACUAGCCCUUAAGUGGCUUUGAGAUUAGCGGAACGCUCUGGAAAGUGCGGCCAUAGUGGGUGAUAGCCCUGUACGCGAAAAUCUCUUAGUCAUGAAAUCGAGUAGGACGGAGCACGAGAAACUUUGUCUGAAUAUGGGGGGACCAUCCUCCAAGGCUAAAUACUACUGACUGACCGAUAGUGAACUAGUACCGUGAGGGAAAGGCGAAAAGAACCCCGGAGAGGGGAGUGAAAUAGAUCCUGAAACCGUAUGCGUACAAGCAGUGGGAGCCCACUUUGUUGGGUGACUGCGUACCUUUUGUAUAAUGGGUCAGCGACUUAUUUUCAGUGGCGAGCUUAACCGAAUAGGGGAGGCGUAGCGAAAGCGAGUCUUAAUAGGGCGUCUAGUCGCUGGGAAUAGACCCGAAACCGGGCGAUCUAUCCAUGGGCAGGUUGAAGGUUGGGUAACACUAACUGGAGGACCGAACCGACUACCGUUGAAAAGUUAGCGGAUGACCUGUGGAUCGGAGUGAAAGGCUAAUCAAGCUCGGAGAUAGCUGGUUCUCCUCGAAAGCUAUUUAGGUAGCGCCUCAUGUAUCACUGUAGGGGGUAGAGCACUGUUUCGGCUAGGGGGUCAUCCCGACUUACCAAACCGAUGCAAACUCCGAAUACCUACAAGUGCCGAGCAUGGGAGACACACGGCGGGUGCUAACGUCCGUCGUGAAAAGGGAAACAACCCAGACCGUCAGCUAAGGUCCCAAAGUUAUGGUUAAGUGGGAAACGAUGUGGGAAGGCUUAGACAGCUAGGAGGUUGGCUUAGAAGCAGCCACCCUUUAAAGAAAGCGUAAUAGCUCACUAGUCGAGUCGGCCUGCGCGGAAGAUGUAACGGGGCUCAAACCAUACACCGAAGCUACGGGUAUCACGUAAGUGAUGCGGUAGAGGAGCGUUCUGUAAGCCUGUGAAGGUGAGUUGAGAAGCUUGCUGGAGGUAUCAGAAGUGCGAAUGCUGACAUGAGUAACGACAAUGGGUGUGAAAAACACCCACGCCGAAAGACCAAGGUUUCCUGCGCAACGUUAAUCGACGCAGGGUUAGUCGGUCCCUAAGGCGAGGCUGAAAAGCGUAGUCGAUGGAAAACAGGUUAAUAUUCCUGUACUUCUGGUUAUUGCGAUGGAGGGACGGAGAAGGCUAGGCCAGCUUGGCGUUGGUUGUCCAAGUUUAAGGUGGUAGGCUGAGAUCUUAGGUAAAUCCGGGAUCUUAAGGCCGAGAGCUGAUGACGAGCUAACUUUUAGUUAGCGAAGUGGUUGAUGCCAUGCUUCCAAGAAAAGCUUCUAAGCUUCAGGUAACCAGGAACCGUACCCCAAACCGACACAGGUGGUUGGGUAGAGAAUACCAAGGCGCUUGAGAGAACUCGGGUGAAGGAACUAGGCAAAAUGGCACCGUAACUUCGGGAGAAGGUGCGCCGGUGAGGGUGAAGGACUUGCUCCGUAAGCUCAUGCCGGUCGAAGAUACCAGGCCGCUGCGACUGUUUAUUAAAAACACAGCACUCUGCAAACACGAAAGUGGACGUAUAGGGUGUGACGCCUGCCCGGUGCCGGAAGGUUAAUUGAUGGGGUUAGCUAACGCGAAGCUCUUGAUCGAAGCCCCGGUAAACGGCGGCCGUAACUAUAACGGUCCUAAGGUAGCGAAAUUCCUUGUCGGGUAAGUUCCGACCUGCACGAAUGGCGUAACGAUGGCGGCGCUGUCUCCACCCGAGACUCAGUGAAAUUGAAAUCGCUGUGAAGAUGCAGUGUAUCCGCGGCUAGACGGAAAGACCCCGUGAACCUUUACUAUAGCUUUGCACUGGACUUUGAAUUUGCUUGUGUAGGAUAGGUGGGAGGCUUUGAAGCGUGGACGCCAGUCUGCGUGGAGCCAACCUUGAAAUACCACCCUGGCAACUUUGAGGUUCUAACUCAGGUCCGUUAUCCGGAUCGAGGACAGUGUAUGGUGGGUAGUUUGACUGGGGCGGUCUCCUCCUAAAGAGUAACGGAGGAGUACGAAGGUGCGCUCAGACCGGUCGGAAAUCGGUCGUAGAGUAUAAAGGCAAAAGCGCGCUUGACUGCGAGACAGACACGUCGAGCAGGUACGAAAGUAGGUCUUAGUGAUCCGGUGGUUCUGUAUGGAAGGGCCAUCGCUCAACGGAUAAAAGGUACUCCGGGGAUAACAGGCUGAUACCGCCCAAGAGUUCAUAUCGACGGCGGUGUUUGGCACCUCGAUGUCGGCUCAUCACAUCCUGGGGCUGAAGCCGGUCCCAAGGGUAUGGCUGUUCGCCAUUUAAAGUGGUACGCGAGCUGGGUUUAGAACGUCGUGAGACAGUUCGGUCCCUAUCUGCCGUGGACGUUUGAGAUUUGAGAGGGGCUGCUCCUAGUACGAGAGGACCGGAGUGGACGAACCUCUGGUGUUCCGGUUGUCACGCCAGUGGCAUUGCCGGGUAGCUAUGUUCGGAAUAGAUAACCGCUGAAAGCAUCUAAGCGGGAAACUAGCCUCAAGAUGAGAUCUCACUGGAACCUUGAGUUCCCUGAAGGGCCGUCGAAGACUACGACGUUGAUAGGUUGGGUGUGUAAGCGCUGUGAGGCGUUGAGCUAACCAAUACUAAUUGCCCGUGAGGCUUGACC
rnacentral:rRNA from 1 species